GCAAACUUGGUCAUUUAGAGGAAGUAAAAGUCGUAACAAGGUUUCCGUAGGUGAACCUGCGGAAGGAUCAUUAACGAGUUAGGGUCCACUCGGCCCGACCUCCCAACCCUUUGUCUACCACACCGCGUUGCUUCGGCUGGCCCGUCUACGGACCGCCGGGGGGCCGUGAUACGCCCUCUGGCCCGCGCCUGCCGAAAGCCCAACCACAAAUACUUUUGAUAAUCGUGUCGUUGUCUGAGUACAAAACAUUUUAAAUAAAGCAAAACUUUCAACAACGGAUCUCUUGGUUCUGGCAUCGAUGAAGAACGCAGC
rnacentral:misc_RNA from 1 species